ACGGGGGGGGCAAGCGUUGUUCGGAAUUACUGGGCGUAAAGGGCUCGUAGGUGGCCAAUUAAGUCCGACGUGAAAUCCCUCGGCUCAACCGGGGAACUGCGUCGGAUACUGGAUGGCUUGAAUCCGGGAGAGGGACGUGGAAUUCCAGGUGUAGCGGUGAAAUGCGUAGAUAUCUGGAGGAACACCGGUGGCGAAGGCGGCGUCCUGGACCGGAAUUGACACUGAGGAGCGAAAGCCAGGGGAGCAAACGGGAUUAGAUACCCCGGUAGUCCUGGCCCUAAACGAUGAGUGCUUGGUGUGGCGGGUAUCGAUCCCCGCCGUGCCGGAGCUAACGCAUUAAGCACUCCGCCUGGGGAGUACGGUCGCAAGGCUG
rnacentral:rRNA from 1 species